GCGAGGGUGUGCGGCGAGGUGCUGGCUUCGGGGGGAAGCGGCCACCACCGCCGGCCUCCGCCGCUCCGCGCCUCUCUCCCGGCCACCCUGCGCCGCCAGGGCCCCGCGGACCUGCAAACCCGAGGCCGAGAGCGGAACUGCCCUGCCGUUUCCCGGGCUCGGGGAUCUCGGGGCUCGCGAUGGCGAUGCGCCGCGAGGAAAGGCGAGGAGCUGCGUGGGGGCUGAGUGUCCUCGGAGCGCCGGGACGCGGGGAGCGCACGCCCCCGGGCUGGGGAAGCUGCCGCCCCGGGACCCCCUGGGCCAAGUCCCUCCAUCUUCGCGGCGCCCGAGCACUGAGGCCGGGGCGGCCGGCGCUCUGGCCUUGGAUGGAAAGUGGGAGAUGGGAUGCGGGGCUCCGGACCUCCUAACGUGGAUUACUUGGUGCGUCCCAGCCGGGCUCAGAAGACUCAGGACCUCCCUCCAUCCUUGGAUUGAUUCAUUCCACCUGGCCGUCGGGUCGCGUUACCCGGAGGUGAAGUCAGAAGUUUGAGGCUGGCCUGCGUAGAUGCUCCGAACCAGACAAAAAGCUCUAAUACCUGAGAAGAUGGGUAACUGAGUAUCUCAUCUUGGCACAGAUCUAGCACGGGGUGACUCAGUCUCUUGCAAUGCCCUGCAUUACUGGGAACUUAUUUCAUUGCCGAGAGUCCUCGCUGGUAAGACACGUUUCCUUAUUCAGUAUCAAUUUCUUCAGCUGAUUGGCACCAUCCCCUCUCU
rnacentral:lncRNA from 1 species